CCUACGGGAGGCAGCAGUGGGGGAAUUUUUGGACAAUGGGCGCAAGCCUGAUCCAGCAAUGCCGCGUGAGUGAAGAAGGCCUUCGGGUUGUAAAGCUCUCUUGUCAGGGAAGAAACGGGAUUGGAUAAUACCUAGUCCUAAUGACGGUACCUGAAGAAUAAGCACCGGCUAACUACGUGCCAGCAGCCGCGGUAAUACGUAGGGUGCAAGCGUUAAUCGGAAUUACUGGGCGUAAAGCGUGCGCAGGCGGUUUUGUAAGUCUGACGUGAAAGCCCCGGGCUCAACCUGGGAAUUGCGUUGGAGACUGCAAGGCUUGAAUCUGGCAGAGGGGGGGUAGAAUUCCACGUGUAGCAGUGAAAUGCGUAGAGAUGUGGAGGAACACCGAUGGCGAAGGCAGCCCCCUGGGUCAAGAUUGACGCUCAUGCACGAAAGCGUGGGGAGCAAACAGGAUUAAGAUACCCUGGUAGUCCACGCCCUAAACGAUGUCUACUAGUUGUCGGGUUUUAAUUAACUUGGUAACGCAGCUAACGCGUGAAGUAGACCGCCUGGGGAGUACGGUUCGCGAAGGUAUUAAAACGUUCAAAUGAAAUUGACGG
rnacentral:rRNA from 1 species